rnacentral:rRNA from 1 species
AGAGUUUGAUCCUGGCUCAGAACGAACGCUGGCGGCAUGCUUAAUACAUGCAAGUCGAACGAACUAUUUAUAGUUAGUGGCAGACGGGUGAGGAACGCGUGGGAACGUACCCUAAAGUUCGGAAUAACUAUUGGAAACGAUAGCUAAUACCGGAUGUGGCAGAGAUGCGAAAGGUUUACCGCUUUGGGAGCGGCCCGCGUUAGGUUAGCUAGUUGGUGGGGUAAAGGCCUACCAAGGCGAUGAUCUAUAGCUGGUCUGAGAGGAUGACCAGCCACACUGGGACUGAGACACGGCCCAGACUCCUACGGGAGGCAGCAGUGGGGAAUAUUAGACAAUGGGGGCAACCCUGAUCUUGCAAUGCCGCGUGAAUGAAGAAGGCCUUCGGGUUGUAAAGUUCUUUUAUUGAUGAAGAUAAUGACGGUAAUCAAUGAAUAAGCACCGGCUAUCUUCGUGCCAGCAGCCGCGGUAAUACGAAGGGUGCUAGCGUUGUUCGGAAUGACUGGGCGUAAAGGGUGUGUAGGCGGCCAGAUACGUUUGAUGUGAAAUCCCUGGGCUUAACCUAGGAACUGCAUUGAAUACGGUUUGGCUGGAGUCCGCGAGAGGAAGAUGGAAUUGUGCGUGUAGAGGUGAAAUUCGUAGAUAUGCACAAGAACACCGGUGGCGAAGGCGAUCUUCUGGAGCGGUACUGACGCUAAGGCACGAAAGUGUGGGGAGCAAACAGGAUUAGAUACCCUGGUAGUCC